rnacentral:rRNA from 1 species
GACGAACGCUGGCGGCGUGCUUAACACAUGCAAGUCGAACGAGGCCCUCUCUUCGGAGGGGUGUUCUAGUGGCGAACGGGUGAGUAACACGUGGGCAACCUGCCCCCGGCUCUGGGAUAACCCCAAGAAAUUGGGGCUAAUACCGGAUAUGACCGCUGACCGCAUGGUCCGGUGGUGGAAAGAUUUAUCGGCUGGGGAUGGGCCCGCGGCCUAUCAGCUUGUUGGUGGGGUAGUGGCCUACCAAGGCGACGACGGGUAGCCGGCCUGAGAGGGUGACCGGCCACACUGGGACUGAGACACGGCCCAGACUCCCACGGGAGGCAGCAGUGGGGAAUAUUGCGCAAUGGGCGGAAGCCUGACGCAGCGACGCCGCGUGGGGGAUGACGGCCUUCGGGUUGUAAACCUCUUUCAGCAGGGACGAAGCGCAAGUGACGGUACCUGCAGAAGAAGCACCGGCCAACUACGUGCCAGCCGCCGCAGUAACAC